AUUGAACGCUGGCGGCAGGCUUAACACAUGCAAGUCGAGCGGAGACUUCGGUCUUAGCGGCGAACGGGUGAGGAAUGCCUGGGAAUCUGCCUGGUAGUGGGGGAUAACGUUCCGAAAGGAACGCUAAUACCGCAUACGUCCUACGGGAGAAAGCAGGGGACCUUCGGGCCUUGCGCUAUCAGAUGAGCCCAGGUCGGAUUAGCUAGUAGGUGAGGUAAAGGCUCACCUAGGCGACGAUCCGUAGCUGGUCUGAGAGGAUGAUCAGCCACACUGGAACUGAGACACGGUCCAGACUCCUACGGGAGGCAGCAGUGGGGAAUAUUGGACAAUGGGCGAAAGCCUGAUCCAGCCAUG
rnacentral:rRNA from 1 species